GNGUACCAACCUGCCCCAUGCUCCAGAAUAGCUCUUGGAAACGGGUGGUAAUGCUGGAUGCUCCAACUUGACGCAUGUCUUGUUGGGAAAGUGUUUAGUGGCAUGGGAUGGGGUCGCGUCCUAUCAGCUUGUAGGCGGGGUAAUGGCCCACCUAGGCUUCGACGGGUAGCCGGCCUGAGAGGGCGGACGGCCACAUUGGGACUGAGAUACGGCCCAGACUCCUACGGGAGGCAGCAGCG
rnacentral:rRNA from 1 species